rnacentral:misc_RNA from 1 species
GAUGAAGAACGUAGUGAAAUGCGAUAAGUAGUGUGAAUUGCAGAAUUCAGUGAAUCAUCGAAUCUUUGAACGCACAUUGCGCCCCUUGGUAUCCCGAGGGGCAUGCCUGUUCGAGCGUCAUUUCACCACUCAAGCCUGGCUUGGUGUUGGGCGACGUCCUCUUUGGGGACGCGCCUCGAAACGCUCGGCGGCGUGGCACCGGCUUUAAGCGUAGCAGAAUCUUUCGCUUUGGAAGUCGGGGCCCCGUCUGCCGGAAGACCUGCUCGCAUGGUUGACCUCGGAUCAGGCAGGGAUACCCGCUGAACUUAAGCAUAUCAAUAAGCGGAGGA